CUCUGUGACUCCUACGGGAGGCAGCAGUGGGGAAUAUUGUCACUAAUGGGCGCCAAGCCUGAUGCAGCCAUGCCGCGUUGUGUGGAAGAAGGCCUUCGGGUUGUAAAGCACUUUCAGUUGUGAGGAAGGUGGUGUCGUUAAUAGCGGCAUCAUUUUGACGUUUAGCAACAGAAGAAGCACCGGCUAACUCCGUGCCAGCAGCCGCGGUAAUACGGAGGGUGCGAGCGUUAAUCGGAAUUACUGGGCGUAAAGCGCAUGCAGGUGGUUUGUUAAGUCAGAUGUGAAAGCCCGGGGCUCAACCUCGGAACUGCAUUUGAAACUGGCAGACUAGAGUACUGUAGAGGGGGUAGAAUUUCAGGUGUAGCGGUGAAAUGCGUAGAGAUCUGUAAGGAAUACCGGUGGCGAAGGCGGCCCCCUGGACAGAUACUGACACUCAGAUGCGAAAGCGUGGGGAGCAAACAGGAUUAGAUACCCUGGUAG
rnacentral:rRNA from 1 species